GUAUGUGGUGACUUUGUUCAUCUGGGGUUGGCCUUGUCUGUUUCAUAAGGGGAGGGAAUAUGUAAUUGUUCUCUCUCCUAAUUAUAGUUAGUUUCUUAUUUUUUAUUUAUUUCUGGAAAUGCUGGCUUGAAUUAUUGCAUAAUGACGUGAUUUCAUUUGAAUGAUUGAGGUGAUUUUGCUGGGGUCUUGUCUCUGUAAAUUCUUGUAUAAUUUGAGGGUUCAAUUUUGUUGGGGAAUAUAAUUUGAAGAGAUCAGGAAAAGGGUAAAAGGAGAUGAGUUGCUUUUCUUGUAUGACCCCUCGACGUAAGAAUGCGAGGGAUUACGAUGAAGAUAUGACCCCGAAAUCCAUUGCCUCUUCAGAUCAAUUAUUGCUAGGAUUUGCAGUUGGUGCGAAUAGAAAGGCAAAUUUUAGUGAGAGGAGUAGGGGAAAGGGAAGUUCUGCGGGAGCAAGAGGCAUAGAAGACAAUGGCCAAGAUAGCAAUGUGGCUCGUACCUUCACAUUCAAGGAACUUGCGUUGGCGACCCAAAAUUUUAGAGAAUCUAAUUUGAUCGGGGAAGGUGGUUUUGGAAGCGUUUACAAGGGCUGCCUAGAUUCAGAUAUGGUUGUUGCUGUCAAACAACUAAAUCUCGAAGGCCUUCAGGGGAAUCAAGAAUUUAUCGUAGAAGUUUUGAUGUUAAGUCUGCUGCACCAUCCCAACCUUGUUAACUUGAUCGGGUAUUGUGCUCACGGAGACCAGAGACUUUUGGUGUACGAGUAUAUGCCACUAGGGAGCCUGGAGUAUCAUCUUUUCGAUUUAGAGCCUGGUCAGAAGCCAUUGAUUUGGAGCACAAGGCUGAAGAUUGCUGUAGAUGCAGCUCAUGGCCUUGAAUAUCUUCACUGCAAAGCAAAUCCACCAGUCAUUUAUCGUGAUCUGAAAUCUUCGAACAUAUUGUUGGACAAUGAAUUCAAUGCCAAGCUGUCAGAUUUUGGACUCGCCAAACUAGGACCCGUUGGUGAGAAUACCCAUGUAUCGACACGAGUGAUGGGAACUUAUGGAUACUGUGCCCCUGAAUAUGCCAUGAGUGGCAAAUUGACUCUAAAAUCAGACAUCUAUAGCUUUGGCGUGGUUCUGUUGGAACUGAUAACUGGACGUAAGGUUAUUGACUGCACCAGAAAGCCUGGAGAGCAGAAUCUUAUUGUGUGGUCUCGUCCUUUUCUUAAAGACCGGAAGAAGUUUGUUGAGAUGGCUGACCCGCUAUUAGAGGGGCGCUUCUCUGUCCGAAGUCUGCAUCAUGCAGUUGCAAUUACUGCAAUGUGUCUUCAGGAACAAGCAAGUUUCCGCCCUGCCAUCAGUGAUAUUGUUACAGCACUUGAAUACCUAGCUUCUCAGACAGGUAGCUCUGAUCGUCAUAAAGGUGGAUCUUUAAAUCAGACAUCAUCACCGCCAUUGAGAAGACGAGAUCUUGAAAAUGCUUCUUUUGAUGUUUUAACAUCAAGCUUCUAACAUAGUUGUAACUAUUAAGGAAGAAGGAUAUGGAGCACUCAAUUUUUUUCACCUCUAGAAGAAUUACGAGAAUAAUCGAUGUUGCCAAUAUUCCUGACAGUUGGGAAGUGUUACUUGAGUUUGUAUAGCACGAGGAUGUUAAAUAAAUUCGGAAUUGCACGACUUAGAACUGUGAGACGUGCGUGAUUGUCUUGAUUUUUCUAUCCCAUUGUUAAUCCUCGGAGUUCUUUUAAAGCUAAUGAGUUGGGAAGGUUUGUGUACAUGUUGCAGUUCAUUUUCUAUUUCAUUCUGAUCUUCGUUAUGCCGCCUUCUCAAUUUAGUACUUCUUUGAGGUGUAUCUUAGUCGAAUGCAGCAUCCAGUAUCUCGUAUUUUUUCCCCUCCAGUCGACCCCUCCCAUGUUGUUAGGAUUUUGUAAUUGCAGUCUUGUGAUUUUCCAGAUAGAUUUAUCUUUAAAUGCAACAGAAAUUCGUUGGAAUGGCUGUUAGGAACUUUUCUAU